ensembl:lncRNA
CCGGUGUCACUGAGUGGGGUUUGGUCUGUCACCAGAUCACCAGUGAGCUGACAGCUGUCAUCUCCAGCUGCGAUACAAGGCCCCUCCACACCCCAAAUUAGCACAAUUCACCCACACACCCAAAGACCUUCAAGUCAAACCAAGAGAGAAAAAAGUUAUUUAUUUUACCGAGACUGCGGUUUCAAUUGGACAUCUUAACAAAACACUCAUUUAACAACUAAAACAGUUAAUAAAAACACCCACAGGAAUAGACAAACGAUUAAAAAAGACACACACGUAUGUCUACAUAUUAAAUACACAACCACAAACAUUUGCUGUUGUUCCCGAAGGUAUGGAAUUGGUCUUGUAUACCAUGGGAGUCCACUAGAGCUCAACUUGUAUCUAGAAUGACUCUAGAUCGCAAAGUCAAAAAGUGAAUUUGUCGCUAUCCGUCAGUCUGUAUGAACCGUAAAUCAAUCUUCUGCCACUCUUCAAAUGGUAGCAAAUGUUUAAAUAGAUAUAUAUUUUUUAUCAUCAGCUUCAACAAUUGCUGCAAAUAGGCAUUUUAUAUUUAAAUAUAAAUAUUUCUAAUUAUAUAACAUCACAGCAUACCUUCUCAUCCAUUGCACUUGCGCAUAAUUAAAACUUAACAUUCAACACAUCCGGGAUAAACCGCCAACCACCACGGUCACAGGAACAUGCUCAACAUUCUCCAGAGUUGAUAUAUAAAGAUACAUUGGCCCAUUGUGACAAAUAUCAUUGAGAAACCGUACACUAGACAGCUGAGAGCAAUCAUUAAAGACUCCACUUUCAUAAAUGAAAACAAGUUCCUGAUUGGAUGACAUUGCAAUUUGUAUUAGCUCUUUGGUUUAGUUCAGUAAGGCAACGAUGGCGAUUAAACUGCAUUCAUAUAACUCAGAGUAGGUUAUAUACAUACAUACAUACAUACAUACAUACAUACAUACAGAGAGAGAGAGAGAGAGAGAGAGAGAGAGAGAGAGAGAGAGAGAGAGAGAGAGAGAGAGAGAGAGAGAGAGAGAGAGAGAGAGAGAGAGAGAGAGAGAGAGAGAGAGAGAGAGAGAGAGAGAGAGAGAGAGACUCAAACAACCUUAUAAGAGGAAAAAGAUUAACAUGGCGAUGAAGGGAAACAGUAAAAAACAAAGCUAAGUUAGCUUACAAAAGGCACAAGGAGAAAAUCCCACAAAAUUGUGUGUGUACACGUGUGCACGUAGGCUAUACAUCCCAUAAUGCCCUAGAUAUGGAGGCGAGUCCAUGGUCCCCAACCGGGAUCGGUUCAGAGUGGUAUCAAUGCUCACACUGCGUGUGCCAAAGUGCUCAGUGCUCCUUCAACCUGCAAGAGAAGACAUGUUGGACAUCAGUUUACAUCAGUACACAGCUGUCCCUGCUGCUCCUCCUUCUCCUGUGAACACGUCUGGUGAUUCUUGUAACUCCACCACCACAGAGUAAAAGAACAGAGAUCUUUCACCUCUUCAUGCCGGCUAGGCUGUUGGAUUUGUUGGGAAGUUUGUUUGUUUUGCCACUCCAAUGUUAUAAUUGUCCUUAUUGUUCUAAUUAUGUCUUUAUUCUUGGAGUGGAGGCCUUCUGAAUGUUGUUUUGAGUCUCGCGAUGUGACUUAUAGGAACCAAGAAGAUCCUAGACUACCAUGUUUAUUGUGUUUUGUACUCCACAACCUCACAGGACU